CCUACGGGUGGCAGCAGUAGGGAAUCUUCGGCAAUGGACGGAAGUCUGACCGAGCAACGCCGCGUGAGUGAAGAAGGUUUUCGGAUCGUAAAGCUCUGUUGUAAGAGAAGAACGAGUGUGAGAGUGGAAAGUUCACACUGUGACGGUAUCUUACCAGAAAGGGACGGCUAACUACGUGCCAGCAGCCGCGGUAAUACGUAGGUCCCGAGCGUUGUCCGGAUUUAUUGGGCGUAAAGCGAGCGCAGGCGGUUAGAUAAGUCUGAAGUUAAAGGCUGUGGCUUAACCAUAGUACGCUUUGGAAACUGUUUAACUUGAGUGCAAGAGGGGAGAGUGGAAUUCCAUGUGUAGCGGUGAAAUGCGUAGAUAUAUGGAGGAACACCGGUGGCGAAAGCGGCUCUCUGGCUUGUAACUGACGCUGAGGCUCGAAAGCGUGGGGAGCAAACAGGAUUAGAUACCCUAGUAGUC
rnacentral:rRNA from 1 species